UACGUAGGGUCCGAGCGUUGUCCGGAAUUAUUGGGCGUAAAGGGCUCGUAGGCGGCUUGUCGCGUCGACUGUGAAAACUCGGGGCUCAACUCCGAGCUUGCAGUCGAUACGGGCAGGCUAGAGUUCGGUAGGGGAGACUGGAAUUCCUGGUGUAGCGGUGAAAUGCGCAGAUAUCAGGAGGAACACCGGUGGCGAAGGCAGCUCGCUGGGACGGUACUGACGCUGAGGCGCGAAAGCGUGGGGAGCAAACAGG
rnacentral:rRNA from 1 species